GUGGACGUAGCUCAGCUGGUAGAGCGCAGGAUUGUGGAUCCUGUGGUCGUGGGUUCGAUCCCCAUCGUCCACCCCA
rnacentral:tRNA from 1 species